rnacentral:rRNA from 1 species
GAUGAACGCUGGCGGCGUGCCUAAUACAUGCAAGUCGAGCGAACGGACGAGAAGCUUGCUUUUCUGAUGUUAGCGGCGGACGGGUGAGUAACACGUGGAUAACCUACCUAUAAGACUGGGAUAACUUCGGGAAACCGGAGCUAAUACCGGAUAAUAUUUUGAACCGCAUGGUUCAAAAGUGAAAGACGGUCUUGCUGUCACUUAUAGAUGGAUCCGCGCUGCAUUAGCUAGUUGGUAAGGUAACGGCUUACCAAGGCAACGAUGCAUAGCCGACCUGAGAGGGUGAUCGGCCACACUGGAACUGAGACACGGUUCAGACUCCUACGGGAGGCAGCAGUAGGGAAUCUUCCGCAAUGGGCGAAAGCCUGACGGAGCAACGCCGCGUGAGUGAUGAAGGUCUUCGGAUCGUAAAACUCUGUUAUUAGGGAAGAACAUAUGUGUAAGUAACUGUGCACAUCUUGACGGUACCUAAUCAGAAAGCCACGGCUAACUACGU